CAUGUUCAAAGGGAUAUUCAAUGUCUGCAUUUUUUUUUUACCCAUCACCCAAUAGGUGCCUUUCUUUGCGAGGCAUUGGAAAACCUCCCGGGUCUUUGUGGUUGAAUGUGUUUGAAAUUCACUGCUCUACUGAGGGACCUUACAGAUAAUUGUGUGUGGGGUACAGAGAUGAGGUAGUCAUUCAAAAAUCAUGUUAAACUGUAUUAUUGCAACUUAUUAUGUGACUUGUUAAUUAAGCACAUUUUUUUACUCUCUAACUCAUUUAGACUUGCCACAAGAGUUAAAUACUUAUUGACAAAAAUCUCCAUUUAUUCCAUAUUCCAAUACUUUCUGAUGGCACUGUACAUGACAUCACAGCCAGUGUUCCUUCCUUGACCCCUUGGUGAUGUUACGGCUGGAUCAGUGACGUACAGGGACAUUCUGAGUAAGGCCCAGGAGCGUUCUGUGGCCCACCGCAGGGACCUCAGGACCAUGUGGGGCCAAUACUCCAAGGACCUCUAUGUUCUCAACCAGAGGAAGCUGGACGAGCGCUAUGAAACCUUCAGGAAACAGAAAAAGAUCCUGUCCCAGAAGACAACUAUCAAACGACUGUGCCAGCUACUGGUCCCAGAGACCAUUAAUGAAGAGGACACCAGGACCAGCUCUGAGGUCAUACACGCCUUCGAAAUGGCUGUGUCUGGGCUGGACAAAGUCACCCCUGACCCUUCAGUCUGACCCCUUAACCCCCAGGGUUUGACCACUGAACCCUGACUACCCUCAUAUCGGAAAUGCAUUAAAAAAAACAUGCUUCACCUGUAUUGGCUUUAAUUAUAUUUUGCUCUUUGGGGUACACGCUGUCUGUGCAGGAAUGCUGUAAUGAACUACCACAGGCACAAUGUGGCGGUAUAUACAUGGCUACAAAUACCAGUGUCUGAAUGGUGUUGACUCUGAGUAAUCAUUAAAAAGAAAGACUGAAAGAGUGUAAAACACAAGAUAGAAUAUGGAUAGGUUGGGGUUUUGGACAGAGAUCUUGGCUUUAUGAUAGACGAUAUUUAAUUGACCUCCCAGACGAUACCCCUCAAGGUCACCAGCAUUGCUUUUGGAAACGAGAACACAGACAGCUCAGUAGAUUGAUUACAGGGUGAUCAAUUGAUGACUCAUGGUAAGAAACAGGACAACAACAUGAAUUACUGAAUAAAAUAUAAUGAUAAAGAAAACAAACUACGUUGCUUUCCUCUGAUGCUCAAACAGAGGGCUGGAUCAACAACACUUAGCUAACAGUGUCUGGC
rnacentral:lncRNA from 1 species